rnacentral:rRNA from 1 species
CACGUAGUUAGCCGUGGCUUUCUCGUUAGGUACCGUCACGGUAACGCCAGUUACUGCGUUACUUGUUCUUCCCUAACAACAGAGCUUUACGACCCGAAGGCCUUCUUCGCUCACGCGGCGUUGCUCCGUCAGACUUUCGUCCAUUGCGGAAGAUUCCCUACUGCUGCCUCCCGUAGGAGUCUGGGCCGUGUCUCAGUCCCAGUGUGGCCGAUCACCCUCUCAGGUCGGCUACGCAUCGUCGCCUUGGUGAGCCGUUACCUCACCAACUAGCUAAUGCGCCGCGGGCCCAUCCUGUAGCGACAGCUUGCGCCGUCUUUCAACGAAACGUCAUGCGACAUUUCGUGUUAUCCGGUAUUAGCACCGAUUUCUCGGUGUUAUCCCCGUCUACAGGGCAGGUUGCCCACGUGUUACUCACCCGUCCGCCGCUAACGAAUCAAAAGCAAGCUUUCGAUUCGUCGCUCGACUUGCAUGUAUUAGGCACGCCGCCAGCCGUUCUCCUGA